AUCUUUGCGCAGUGGCAGUAUCGUAGCCUAUGAGGUUUAUCCGAGGCGCGAUUAUUGCUAGUUGAAAACUUUACCCAAUACCCCGCCUAGACGACUUGAAAUAUAGUCGGCAACGGCAAUUUUUGACAGUCUUUACGGAGA
rnacentral:snRNA from 1 species